CUAGGCUUCCCAUAUCGUCUUGUUCCCCCACCCUCCAACUCCUCCAAGCGAUUGCCUCUCCCUCACGCCGCGUCCCAUGCUCUGCGAAAUAGAGGUUGUUCUGUGGAGCGCGCGUGCUUGCGGCAAUGGGCAGAUCCGGUUCCGGAGGAGGCCCAAGGGGAGGAUCUACGGCGGCAGUGUUUAAGGAGGUUUGCCGUCACGUGCACCAGGAGCCCGAUUUGGGUCGAUUUUACUUGCUAAUGCUAUAAUAUAUCGUCAGCAAGCUUGUAACCAAGAGCGACUUGGCCGCA